UUUGCAGGUCGCAGCCCGUUGUUUAG
rnacentral:piRNA from 1 species